GGAAGUAAAAGUCGUAACAAGGUCUCCGUUGGUGAACCAGCGGAGGGAUCAUUACCGAGUUUACAACUCCCAAACCCAUGUGAACAUACCUACUGUUGCUUCGGCGGGAUUGCCCCGGGCGCCUCGUGUGCCCCGGAUCAGGCGCCCGCCUAGGAAACUUAAUUCUUGUUUUAUUUUGGAAUCUUCUGAGUAGUUUUCACAAAUAAAUAAAAACUUUCAACAACGGAUCUCUUGGUUCUGGCAUCGAUGAAGAACGCAGCGAAAUGCGAUAAGUAAUGUGAAUUGCAGAAUUCAGUGAAUCAUCGAAUCUUUGAACGCACAUUGCGCCCGCCAGUAUUCUGGCGGGCAUGCCUGUCUGAGCGUCAUUUCAACCCUCAUGCCCCUAGGGCGUGGUGUUGGGGAUCGGCCAAAGCCCGCGAGGGACGGCCGGCCCCUAAAUCUAGUGGCGGACCCGUCGUGGCCUCCUCUGCGAAGUAGUGAUAUUCCGCAUCGGAGAGCGACGAGCCCCUGCCGUUAAACCCCCAACUUUCCAAGGUUGACCUCAGAUCAGGUAGGAAUACCCGCUGAACUUAAGCAUAUCAAUAAGCGGAGGA
rnacentral:rRNA from 1 species